rnacentral:rRNA from 1 species
GACGAACGCUGGCGGCGUGCUUAACACAUGCAAGUCGAACGGAAAGGCUCCAGCUUGCUGGAGUGCUCGAGUGGCGAACGGGUGAGUAACACGUGGGCAAUCUGCCCUGCACUCUGGGAUAAGCCUGGGAAACUGGGUCUAAUACCGGAUAGGACCUUUCUACUCAUGGGGUUUGGUGGAAAGUUUUUCGGUUCAGGAUGAGCCCGCGGCCUAUCAGCUUGUUGGUGGGGUAAUGGCCUACCAAGGCGAAGACGGGUAGCCGGCCUUAGAGGGUGAACGGCCACAUUGGGACUGAGAUACGGCCCAGACUCCUACCGGAGGCAACAGUGGGGAAUAUUGCACAAUGGGCGAAAGCCUGAUGCAACGACGCCGCGUGAGGGAUGACGGCCUUCGGGUUGUAAACCUCUUUCAGUAGGGACGAAGCGCAAGUGACGGUACCUGCAGAAGAAGCACCGGCUAACUACGUG